rnacentral:rRNA from 1 species
AAAUUGAAGAGUUUGAUCAUGGCUCAGAUUGAACGCUGGCGGCAGGCCUAACACAUGCAAGUCGAACGGUAACAGGAAGAAGCUUGCUUCUUCGCUGACGAGUGGCGGACGGGUGAGUAAUGUCUGGGAAACUGCCUGAUGGAGGGGGAUAACUACUGGAAACGGUAGCUAAUACCGCAUAACGUCGCAAGACCAAAGAGGGGGACCUUCGGGCCUCUUGCCAUCGGAUGUGCCCAGAUGGGAUUAGCUAGUAGGUGGGGUAACGGCUCACCUAGGCGACGAUCCCUAGCUGGUCUGAGAGGAUGACCAGCCACACUGGAACUGAGACACGGUCCAGACUCCUACGGGAGGCAGCAGUGGGG